rnacentral:rRNA from 1 species
GAUGAACGCUGGCGGCGUGCCUAAUACAUGCAAGUCGAGCGAAUGGAUUAAGAGCUUGCUCUUAUGAAGUUAGCGGCGGACGGGUGAGUAACACGUGGGUAACCUGCCCAUAAGACUGGGAUAACUCCGGGAAACCGGGGCUAAUACCGGAUAACAUUUUGAACCGCAUGGUUCGAAAUUGAAAGGCGGCUUCGGCUGUCACUUAUGGAUGGACCCGCGUCGCAUUAGCUAGUUGGUGAGGUAACGGCUCACCAAGGCAACGAUGCGUAGCCGACCGGAGAGGGUGAUCGGCCACGCUGGGACUGAGACACGGCCCAGACUCCUACGGGAGGCAGCAGUAGGGAAUCUUCCGCAAUGGACGAAAGUCUGACGGAGCAACGCCGCGUGAGUGAUGAAGGCUUUCGGGUCGUAAAACUCUGUUGUUAGGGAAGAACAAGCGCUAGUUGAAUAAGCUGGCACCUUGACGGUACCUAACCAGAAAGCCACGGCUAACUACGUGCCAGCCGCCGCCGUAA